ensembl:snoRNA
UCUGAUAACUCCAACAUGCCAUUUGACCAGAGGCUGUUUCUGU